rnacentral:rRNA from 1 species
GACGAACGCUGGCGGCGUGCUUAACACAUGCAAGUCGAACGGAAAGGCCCUGCUUUUGUUGGGUGCUCGAGUGGCGAACGGGUGAGUAACACGUGAGUAACCUGCCCUUGACUUUGGGAUAACUUCAGGAAACUGGGGCUAAUACCGGAUAUGAGCUCCUGCUGCAUGGUGGUGGUUGGAAAGUUUCGGCGGUUGGGGAUGGACUCGCGGCUUAUCAGCUUGUUGGUGGGGUAGUGGCUUACCAAGGCUUUGACGGGUAGCCGGCCUGAGAGGGUGAACGGCCACAUUGGGACUGCGAUACGGACCAGAAUCCUACGGGAGGCAGCAGUGGGGAAUAUUGCACAAUGGGCGGAAGCCUGAUGCAGCAACGCCGCGUGCGGGAUGACGGCCUUCGGGUUGUAAACCGCUUUCGCAUGUGACGAAGCGUGAGUGACGGUAAUGGGUAAAGAAGCACCGGCUAACUACGUG